ACUACUAAAGGACAAUAAGAAGAAGAAGAAUAAGAGACCACUACUAAAGGACAAUAAGAAGAAGAAACCACUACUAAAGGACAAUAAGAAGAAGAAACCACUACUAAAGGACAAUAAGAAGAAGAAACCACUACUAAAGGACAAUAAGAAGAAGAAGAAGAAGAAACCACUACUAAAGGACAAUAAGAAGAAGAAGAAGAAGAAACCACUACUAAAGGACAAUAAGAAGAAGAAGAAGAAGAAACCACUACUAAAGGACAAUAAGAAGAAGAAGAAGAAACCACUACUAAAGGACACUAAGAAGAAGAAGAAGAAACCACUACUAAAGGACAAUAAGAAGAAGAAACCACUACUAAAGGACAAUAAGAAGAAGAAGAAGAAACCACUACUAAAGGACAAUAAGAAGAAGAAACCACUACUAAAGGACACUAAGAAGAAGAAGAAGAAACCACUACUAAAGGACAAUAAGAAGAAGAAGAAGAAGAAGAAGAAGAAACCACUACUAAAGGACACUAAGAAGAAGAAGAAGAAACCACUACUAAAGGACAAUAAGAAGAAGAAGAAACCACUACUAAAGGAAAAUAAGAAGAAGAAACCACUACUAAAGGACAAUAAGAAGAAGAAACCACUACUAAAGGACAAUAAGAAGAAGAAGAAGAAGAGACCACUACUAAAGGACAAUAAGAAGAAGAAACCACUACUAAAGGACAAUAAGAAGAAGAAGAAGAAACCACUACUAAAGGACAAUAAGAAGAAGAAGAAACCACUACUAAAGGACAAUAAGAAGAAGAAGAAGAAACCACUACUAAAGGACAAUAAGAAGAAGAAGAAACCACUACUAAAGGACAAUAAGAAGAAGAAGAAGAAGAAACCACUACUAAAGGACAAUAAGAAGAAGAAGAAGAAGAAGAAACCACUACUAAAGGACAAUAAGAAGAAGAAAUCACUACUAAAGGACAAUAAGAAGAAGAGACCACUACUAAAGGACAAUAAGAAGAAGAAGAAGAAACCACUACUAAAGGACAAUAAGAAGAAGAAGAAGAAACCACUACUAAAGGACACUAAGAAGAAGAAGAAGAAGAAGAAGAAACCACUACUAAAGGACAAUAAUAAGAAGAAGAAGAAACCACUACUAAAGGACAAUAAGAAGAAGAAGAAGAAGAAACCACUACUAAAGGACACUAAGAAGAAGAAGAAGAAGAAACCACUACUAAAGGACAAUAAGAAGAAGAAGAAACCACUACUAAAGGACAAUAAGAAGAAGAAGAAGAAGAAGAAACCACUACUAAAGGACAA
ensembl:lncRNA